GGGGUUGUGGUUCAGCUGUAGAGCACUCACCUAGCAUGUGUGAGGCCCUGGGUUCGAUCCUCAGCACCCCUU
rfam:Ictidomys tridecemlineatus contig029452, whole genome shotgun sequence.